AGCUUGUGUCCCUUCUUCAAGGGCUGUGUAAAUUUCAGGACUAUCUUCUUAAGCAUUUUCUGCCUUUGAUGCUCCAAGAUUUCCGGAACAAGAAUGGGAAAAUCCAACCGUAACAACGUCAAGAAAAGCAUCUGGCAGGUCCUCUGCGGCUGCUUAUCGCCUAAGACCAAGGGCUAAUUAAGAUCUUAUGACUCACCAUGCACAUAGGUCAACUUGUUUCGUACAUGUCGAUUGCCGUUAAUUAGAUGUCAUAAUUACGUUAUUACUAAGUUGAUCGUUCAAUUGGUUUUUAGUUGUGUGACUGUCGGCGGAGCUACACACUCUGCAGUAAGGGAAAUGUAAAACAGUGUCAUGUAACCAUGUGUCCAAAAUAAACUCAUAUAUUUCGUCCUUUAUGUCAUGAAAGCGAAUCAUAAUAUAUACUGUUGUAUUCUUUCCUUAAAAA